AUUUGUCCUCCCCACAAACUUGUUGUUUCAAUAAAAGACAUCCCUCUUGGAAGAGAAAUAGUGUUGCUUUCACAAACAACAGCUGUAUUUAACUCCCCGAUUGAGGUAAAGUGCCCCAAACACGCUCGGUGUUAUCCAGAAUAUGUGACUGCACCUAUUUUCACUUCCUGCUCAAAGAGGUAAUCACUGUAAUCCUUUUGCUCUUUCUCUCCGGGUUGUUUUUCGUUUCUUGCUUUCCACUCGGUGUCGGUUGCGCCUGAGAGAAAACUUGCUGUUUUAUUUAUUCUGCUAAACAUUGGUAUUUUUAGAUUCAGGUUUAACACGAUUAAAACACAGGAACGUUCUGUUUAUCCACGACCGAGGCUAAUUGUAGCAGAAUAUCAUCACUGUGGGGAUAUUCUGCUAACACUGUCGCUUUACUUCUUGUUUCACUUGUGAUGGGACUAAAAACAAAAUGAAUAUGCUACAUAUGCUAAAAUAUAGCUGGGUGUAACAGUAGUACAGGAAGUACAGCAAUAUCUACACUAGCUUAAGUUUGCUAACAUUAGAAAGUUAGAGAAGUUAGCGAAUAUAAGCUGUUAGACCCGUAGAUGUAUUAAGAGAGCUGAUAACAGCCUUGCUGCCUCUUUCAGUGGUCUGUCAAAGUGAUAGCGAAACUUAAAAGCAACACAUUGUAAAACAUUGUAAAACUAAAUGAAACGUUAUGUUUUGAAUACAAACAAAAAGGCUUCUUUAGGUUUAGGCAACAAAACCACUUAGUUAAGUUUAGGGAAAAACAUUGUGUUUUGGCUUAUAACAACUGUUUCAAAAGUGUAAGCCAAACUCAACGACCUCCACCCCAUAUGGAGUUUCAAGCUGUUUAUAGUACAACGCCUUGACUUCCGGUUCUGCUCCUGGCCUUGGCUGGAAGAGACCUCGGUGAGAAUAUUAGGAGCAGUCUUUGUACUGUUUAUGAUCAGACCUGGUUCCAGUCAUCAUCCCAAAUGAUUUAAAUCAGUCUGUCUCUGUGUCUACACCUUCCUGUCACUUAAGGAUGAGUCAGAUUGUAAACAAUGUGUUCGACUUUGAUAAAACAAAGAAAUAGUUCAGUUUUAAUUAAGAGUUUGAUCGAUACGUUCAUGGUGAGAUGACCUCUGUGUGGUCUCAGUGGGUUCCAGGCUUCAGUGCAUAUACAUAAAUAUAAAUAUAUACCACCACUUCUGUCACCAUCUGUACAGCUGAGUGAAUGCUAUAUUUAUCAAUCAUUAUGCUUACUGCAGAGGUGUGAUAUUUCAUUGUUUGUUCUUUUUUUCUCCCAUUUCACAUCUUUCCGCUUUGCCCCAGUCACAUUAUUUUUGUAUUUUAGCGUUAUUAAAGUGGGAUAGAUUCAGAAAGAAAUUGGUUCUGAGUUUAUACUACGGGCUUUGAUGGUGUGAGUGGCACUGAUGCGACGGUAAACAAUGGGAAAUUGAGUUUUAAAAUAAGACACCAGGGGAUUUGAUGCAUGGUGGGAAAUGGCAGAGUAACUUCAGAGAUGGAAUGACAGAGAUUUCUGUCUAAAUGCAGGCAGCAGAGAUAAACCGUCUGUGAACCUGUAAAUCGUCAUUUCCUUGAGUGUUUCUGCCGUAUCUGUUAGAUUCCUUGUACUUGUAAUCCUAAAAGGAUCGGCUUCGACUCGACAAUAGCUUUAAGGUUAGAAAUAUCACCUUUUUCCACAAUAGUCAUGUUUCCAUUCAGAUAUUCAGCUAUUAUUGGCCAUGUUUCAUGCUAUACUGAGACGAAGAAUAUAUACCGUUUCAGCUGAUCAGUCAUGUGAGUUAAAUAAUAAGGCGUUUCCAUAUCCCAUCUAAUGCAUCAACUCUUUUUUGACAAAGGCAAAAAAACACCUCAAGCGAGUGUAAAAACUUUUUCCGCAAUUGAAGAAGUUUUAUCGAGUUUUAUUUCUUUAUUUUUUCCGUGAUCAUUUAUUGGAAGUAACAUCAGGUGCACAGAAACAUACAGUACAAAUAGAGCACAAAUGUAAAUGAUUGUUCCGCCAUAUUUUGGUAUUUUUCCCGCAAAGCCCGCUCCCACCGAACCCUCACCCAUUGCCGAUGCAAAAAGGAUAAAGAACAAAAAACAAAGUUACAUUUUUAAAAAAGAAGAAAAAAAAUAAAUGAAAAUAAAAUAAAUAGUAAUAAAUAAAGUACACAUUGAUGGUAAUAAUAAGGAAUAAUAGGAUAAAUCCCAAACUUUACUAUGUACAAGUGGACAAAUUAACUGUUAGUGGUCAUUUCUGUAAAUUAUGUCAUACAUUUUAGUUGAUGGAGUGAAAUACAUCUCAUAUGCUAUAAAUCCAUUAGUCCUCCUAAAUGCACGACGUCUAAAUACAAUUAGAACAUAUACUACAAAAAUAAUCUUAAUCAUACAGAAGCACUGUCACUCGAUCAAAAGAAGAUAAGAGGGGCUGCCAGGUAUGAUAACAUUUCUGAGCUGAUCUGCAAAUGGCAUUUU